UGGGGAAUAUUGCACAAUGGGGGAAACCCUGAUGCAGCGACGCCGCGUGAACGAAGAAGGUAUUCGUAUCGUAAAGUUCUGUCCUAUGGGAAGAUAAUGACAGUACCAUAGAAGAAAGCUCCGGCUAAAUACGUGCCAGCAGCCGCGGUAAUACGUAUGGAGCGAGCGUUGUCCGGAAUUAUUGGGCGUAAAGGGUACGCAGGCGGUUUAAUAAGUCGAAUGUUAAAGAUCGGGGCUCAACCCCGCAAAGCAUUGGAAACUGAUAAACUUGAGUAGUGGAGAGGAAAGUAGAAUUCCUAGUGUAGUGGUGAAAUACGUAGAUAUUAGGAGGAAUACCAGUAGCGAAGGCGACUUUCUGGAAACAAACUGACGCUGAGGUACGAAAGCGUGGGGAGCAAACAGG
rnacentral:rRNA from 1 species